UACGGAGGGUGCAAGCGUUGUCCGGAAUUACUGGGCGUAAAGGGCGCGUAGGCGGAUAUUUAAGUCGGGGGUGAAAGCCCGGGGCUCAACCUCGGAAUUGCCUUCGAUACUGGAUAUCUUGAGUUCGGGAGAGGUGAGUGGAAUGCCGAGUGUAGAGGUGAAAUUCGUAGAUAUUCGGCGGAACACCAGUGGCGAAGGCGACUCACUGGCCCGAUACUGACGCUGAGGCGCGAAAAGCGUGGGGAGCAAACAGGG
rnacentral:rRNA from 1 species